CGAUAAUCUCAGACAUGGAGGUGGGCCAGCCACAGAGAUCGGCACUGCGAGGAGGAAGAGAUGCCAGCAUAUUAACAUUAUAGGGGACACUUUUCCCAAACAGGGCCAAUCGUGUUGGAGGAGGUUGGGGGAAUAGGCAGAGCUGGGAUGCGAGUGUUCAACAAGGCGAUGUGAUGUGGCUCUGGCAAUCAAUAGAGGAGAUUUAGUAAGUGACUGUGGGUCAUUGAAUGGUUUCCCAUUUUUGCUAAAAUUAGGUGUGUUUUUCUUUAUCAAAUAGUGAUAUUACGUAAACUGAUGUGCAUACAUUUCCAAUUAAUGUGAAUUCCCCAAACUGCCAGUAUAUGCUCUCAGUGCAUUCUAAAAAUAUAAAACAAAAUAUCUAGCAUAAGCAUUAGUAAUAAAGCCAUGGGCAGCUUCCCUACACAUAUGAAAAAGCAGCUUUUUUUAAGCAAACUAUGAUGUAACUUGCAUUGCAAAUACAGUCCCAAGUCAGAACAUUCUACAUGUAUGAUUAGAAAUGUUCUAAUGCUAAAUAUAUCAAUAGUUACUGCAGGGAAGGGGGUAG